rnacentral:lncRNA from 1 species
AUGGAACGUAAAAAACAAUGGUUUGACACACUGAAAAAUGAAAUUAGCAACAGUCCUCUUGUGUCAAAUGUGGCUUUUGGUUUUAUCCUCAUGGGACUAGAGAAGCUGGUGGAGCUGGAGUUUCAGUGUCCUUGCAAUCCUAAAUGGAACGGACUGUUUUCAUCAGCAUUCUUCAUCAUUCCCGCCAUCAUGGCCUUCAUCUUGAUGUUGAUCAUUCAAGGAUGCAGAUGGGAUGAGUGGUUCAAGAAGACUGUGUCCAGUUCCGUGCCUGCUAUCGUGUGGCUGAUCUCGUUGUUCCUCGACGGCCAGUACUUCGCCUGUGCUAUGACAGACUGGGAGGGUAGAUUUGUACUCGUUGACAAGGCAGCUCCACAGAAGUGGUGUAAGCCAAUUAGUGAAGGAAAUUUCACCACACAAGAGCUGAUGCUCCGCUCACAAGAGUGGAUUUUUAAGUCUCAGAACACAAAACAUCGUACUAGAGCAGCAAAGGUCAUGAGAAUGAGCAGCGUGAUUCCAGCUAGAAGAGCAUCACGUCUACAGAGUGAUAGGAAUACCAGGGCAGCCUGUAGGACUCAGUCCUCAGGUGAGCUGCACCUUCUGUGUCUCAUGACAAACUCUAUCCAGAAGAGGGCGCUGUCCAUUGGCUUUAUCGGCGCGUCUCUGUGCAGUCUGGAGAGCCUCUGCAUGUUCAUCCUGUAGGAGGGAUCGUUCAAAACUCUCUUCACAGCUGCCAGGAAGUUGUCGUCCUUGUCCACAGUCCUAAGGCUCAGAAUCUCAGCUCCUCCUCUCUCUUUCAGACGCAAGCAGGUUGUCAUAUUGGUCAAAAAACCACAGGUAGACUACAACUGGGACUCCAUGAUACAUAGCUUCCUGAACUCCGUUCGUUCCUCCGUGAGCCACAAACAGUUUUGUUUUGGGAUGUCCUAAGAGAUCAUUCUGAGGCAUCCAGUCCACCAGUAAAGUGUUGUUUGCCCAGAGUUUGCUGGUCUGUCCCCUUCAUGUUUCCAGAUGAUCUUCUGAGGCAAUUAGCAAAAGCUGCAGCCGA